GACCGCGUAGCUCAGUUGGCAGAGCAUUGGGCUAGUAUUCCAAAGGUCGUGGGUUCGAUUCCCACCGUGGCCA
rnacentral:tRNA from 1 species